GACGGAGGGUGCAAGUGUUAUCCGGAAUCACUGGGCGUAAAGCGUCUGUAGGUGGUUUAAUAAGUCAACUGUUAAAUCUUGAGGCUCAACCUCAAAAUCGCAGUCGAAACUAUUAGGCUAGAGUAUAGUAGGGGUAAAGGGAAUUUCCAGUGGAGCGGUGAAAUGCGUAGAGAUUGGAAAGAACACCGAUGGCGAAGGCACUUUACUGGGCUGACACUGACGCUGAACUGCGAAAGCUAGGGGAGCGAACGGG
rnacentral:rRNA from 1 species